CCUACGGGAGGCAGCAGUGAGGAAUAUUGGUCAAUGGGCGCGAGCCUGAACCAGCCAAGUAGCGUGAAGGAUGACUGCCCUACGGGUUGUAAACUUCUUUUAUAAAGGAAUAAAGUGAGGCACGUGUGCCUUUUUGUAUGUACUUUAUGAAUAAGGAUCGGCUAACUCCGUGCCAGCAGCCGCGGUAAUACGGGGGAUGCAAGCGUUAUCCGGAUUUAUUGGGUUUAAAGGGUGCGUAGGCUGUGAGGUAAGUCAGCGGUGAAAUGCCCCGGCUCAACGGGGUGAAGUGCCAUUGAUACUGGCUUGCUGGAAUGCGGAUGCCGUGGGAGGAAUGUGUGGUGUAGCGGUGAAAUGCAUAGAUAUCACACAGAACACCGAUUGCGAAGGCAGCUCACGAAUCCGCGAUUGACGCUGAUGCACGAAAGCGUGGGUAUCAAACAGGAUUAGAUACCCGAGUAGUC
rnacentral:rRNA from 1 species